rnacentral:rRNA from 1 species
AUUGAACGCUGGCGGCAGGCCUAACACAUGCAAGUCGAGCGAGCGGCGGACGGGUGAGUAAUGUCUGGGAAACUGCCUGAUGGAGGGGGCUAACUACUGGAAACGGUAGCUAAUACCGCAUACCAUCAGAUGUGCCCAGAUGGGAUUAGCUAGUAGGUGGGGUAAAGGCUCACCUAGGCGACGAUCCCUAGCUGGUCUGAGAGGAUGACCAGCCAAACUGGAACUGAGACACGGUCCAGACUCCGACGGGAGGCAGCAGGGGGGAAGAUUGCACAAUGGGCGCAAGCCUGAUGCAGCCAUGCCGCGGGUGUGAAGAAGGCCUUCGGGUUGUAAAGCACUGUAAGCGGGGAGGCGUUACCCGCAGAAGAAGCACCGGCUAACUCCGUGCCAGCAGCCGCGGUAAUAC